ACGUAUAGUUUUAGUUGAAAUCGAAUAGAUCAGAGGUUAGAUUAAAUCGAGAAUCGAUGGAACUUGAACGAACAUCGGCCCCUUCGCUAUGCAACACGUUAGCUUUCAUAUCGUACUCGGAUUAAUCCCGAUAGCUCGAUCGAUGGCGAAUUUUCUCUACGCUGGAAGCGAGAUUUACUCGAAGAAACGAGACAGCCACGCACUCGGAAGAAUGGAUAGCAUCGUUAAGGGGUUACUACGGUGCGGCGGGCUGAAAAAUUCUUGGCCUGUUGUAACCCCUGAAGAGGAAUACACGAUUUGAAAGAAAUACGCCUGGCAAUGAUACGUACCCCGCAAUGAACCGUCAGCGGCUGGAUCGAGCACAGAGCCAGCAAGGGUACGAGGAACGAGAACCC